GCCCGCUUGGCUCACCGGUAGAGCGCCUCACUAGUACGACUAGGAAAUGAGGAGGCAACUGGUUCGACUCCAGUAGUGGGCA
rnacentral:tRNA from 1 species